ACACGUAGGGGGCGAGCAUUGUUCGGAAUCAUUGGGCGUAAAGGGCGCGCAGGCGGCGAGGCAAGUCCGGUGUGAAAGUGCUCGGCUCAACCGAGUGAUGCGCUGGAAACUGCCCUGCUUGAGUACAGGAGGGGACGUCGGAAUUCCAGGUGUAGGGGUGAAAUCUGUAGAUAUCUGGAAGAACACCGGUGGCGAAGGCGGACGUCUGGCCAUGUACGGACGCUGAGGCGCGAAGGUGCGGGGAGCGAACAGGUUUAGAUACCCUGGUAGUCCGCACAGUAAACGAUGUGCACCAGGUGGCGGGGGGUAGCCCUCGGUACCGAAGCCAACGCAUUAAGUGCACCGCCUGGGGAGUAUGCUCGCAAGGGUGAAACUCAAAUGAAUUGACGGGG
rnacentral:rRNA from 1 species